UUCCCGGACAGCGCAAACGAUACACGAACAGCAUCGAAUGGAUACUAUGGCGGAUGAAAUGAAGAAGAGGCGGCCUAAUUUCACAAAAGAGGAGUGUCUGUUGCUAGCGGAGCUAGUUGCGGCCAACAGAGUGGUGCUUGAGGGCAAGUUUGGGCCUGGCAUCACCUCCGUGAAACGACAGGAGGCGUGGCAGAUGAUUACAGACACCCUCAAUUCAAGCAUCACCCACAAGAGGACCAGGGAUGAGGUG